rnacentral:lncRNA from 1 species
GAGGGUGGAGGAAGGAGCUUGUAAAUGAGCAGCUGGUUUGCAGCAAAACCGCACCUCACUCUGCACCUUUGGAUCCCUCUCAGCCUGAGGUUAGCACAGCCAAUGUCCUCACCAGCGUCUGCCAAAGCCCAUGGAGAAGGCCAGCAGGAGCAUAUCACUGUGACUUACAACCCUUCUCUAGUCUGCUACAAUGGAAUCUUAAACAAGAAAAUUUUAUAUUUUGACUUGCAUCAUUGAGAAAAACACUGCCAACCUGAUCGUGGUUCCUUUGAAGAAUCACUGCAGCAGGUGCGAGAGAGGACUCAUGGAGCUUGCAGAUGAGCUAGCCCAGGUAGGACAUCUGAUGUUGGGACCCUCUUCAGAAGUGAAGCAUAUAUAAUCCCACAUGAAAUCUCUCAAGCCAUUCCAGAAGAAUGUUUUCUCAGAUAAAGGUUAUUUACCUAUUUAUAAUAAUUUAUAAUUUACAAAGCAUAUUCAUAUAUAUGAUCCCAUCUAACUCAUAAAAUUAUAUGAAAUGUAUACUAUCUCCAUUUUACAGAUGGGGAAAUUGAGCCUCAGAGUGAUAAAGUAACUUCCCCAAAGUCAUGUAGCUAGUAAAUGAAAGUGAUGAGACUCACACUAGGUUCUUCUAAGUUUUUAGAGUACUUCGUCCACGGCGCCAAGGUGUCUAGGGCAGAGACACCACAACCUCCUAAGACCCUGAACUUGAUGGGUCAGCUGCCACCACGCAGAUGGAUAAAGUGGCUUAUCUGGUACUGUGGCCCCCACUCAGGAACUGACUCAGCGCAAAGAAGACAGCUUCAACUCCCUAUGAUUUCAUCUCCAAUGGGACCAAUCAUCACUCCCCAGUCCCUGGCCUCCUAUGCACCAAAUUAUCCUUAAAAAACCCCAGUCUCUUAAUUGUCAGUCUCUCCAAUCUCUGAAUUUCCAGAAAGAGUUUAAUUCAUGCAGAGGCAGCUGAACUGAUUUGAGUAUGAAUUAAACUCUUUCUCUAUUGCAAUUCCUCUGUCUUGAUGAAUCGGCUUUAUCUGGGCAGUGGGCACAAUGAAUCCUUGGGCGGUUACAAUAAAACUGAAAAUAGAUAAAAACUGUGUGUGGCAAGAUUUAGAUCUAUAAAUUUUGACCUUGGAAAAUAGAACUCCAUAAAAAUAAUGCCCCCAAAAUAAAACUCACAGUAGUAGAAGCUGUUAUAGUAAAAUUUGAAUUGAACAAAAGACUGUUAAAACAGGACUGUGUUGAUAAGUUACACAUAAAUGAAUUCAUCCGGAUCAAAAUAAUUUUAGUAUUUUUACUCAUGACAUUGUAUUCAUGUUUAUUUAUGACAACAUAAAUAGUAAUUUUAUUCACAUGACAAAAUUGGAAAUACUUUAAGUGUGCUAUGUAGAAAACUAAUCAAGGAAUUAAUUUGGGUUAAUGAAAUUAAUUGUUAAAAGUAAUUUCUUGUCAACAACUUUUGUUGCUGGUAUAAUUGUUACAUGCCAGGUUCUGGUCUGUUCUACCUUCAAGCAGUAAAUCAAUCACUAUGAUUCAGGUUUUGCAAAAGAGAAAAGAUUUAUUCGAAAGGACACCCAGCGAGGAGGCGGUGGGAGAACAGCUCUCAAAUCUGCCUCCCCAAAGAUAAAGCUUAAGGGUAUUUAUGGGUUAGGGAAGUGAGGUGGUCUAAGGUGUGGGGAAAGGUGGUUGCUAGUGGGGAAAAAUGAAGUAACAGGUUCAUUCUGCAACAGCCUAGCUGGAGUUUGUGGCAUUCCACAGCACAUAUGUACAGAAAAUGGCAGCAUUAGCAUGGACUGAGGAUGGAGUCUUUGGCCCUCCAACAUAAAAAGGCCGCCUCUCCAGCACUUGAGCAGACCCAGUUAAAAGGUCAGUGGUCUCAACCAGUUUGAACUGGACAGAAGCAGGUCCAAGUUUCUGAAAAACAACUGAAGUAACCGUUACCAUGGUGACCUGUGAAUGUUAUCUAUAAAGUAGCUGGUGAAGGUUACGUUUCAGCAUUCAGUGGCAUGCCCUUCAGUGAUUGCAGACUUCAACUUCAGGGAGAGAUAAAAAAUAACAAAAAGCAAGCAACCAAAAGCAAGCAGGACAGGCAGACCUGACCAAACUAACCCCUCAGUUUUAUAAUUCUAAUUUUAAUGUUUGUAUUCAUUAACACAGAAUCACAGCACUCCCAGGACAAAAGUGAGGGUAAAAAAACUACAAAAUAGUAAUAGCAGGACAAAAACAUCUACUGUUGCUCCAGCACAGAGUAAGCUUUUGAUUAAUGAUUUUUGAGAAAGGAAAUGAAUAUUUAAACAAUGUGAUGUUUGUUAAUCACUUUCUAACUAUAAGCCCACUAACUAAAAUCUGCCUGAAAUUCACUUAUCAAAUCUGCAAUAUUUAAUGCAAGAUUAGAUUGAUUGUUUUAAUCCUCUGAAAGUUUUGCAUUACUUUGGAUACUUUCCCCUUUCUGUUAGUUUUCUUUUGAGCAUUUCAAGGAGUUUUAAAUUCCAAUUUAUCUAUGGAUCCUUCUGCCUUAAUUUCAAGCAAACAAGCAAAUUAUAUACUAUAAUUCAGGAAAUGAGAGUGUUCAGUGUAAGUCAAUCAUACAGAGAAAAAAGGCAACUUUUUCUUCAAGAUUAGAGAAACCACUAUCAUAACAUUUAAUAUUUCUCCAUCAUUUCAUUGAUCCUUCUGCAAAGGAAGAGAACUUUGAGACAUAAAUCCAUCUCUUUCCUUUCUUGGUUUUAUGGAAGCAACUAGAUGCUUGCUUCACACCAUAAUGCUAAGUACAAGUAGUAUAAAAAUUUGAAUAUAUAAAAAACUCACUAAAAAACCUGGAAGGAAAUAUAAUUAAAUACUGAUCUAAAAUUUUGAAUGGAGAACUUCUGAGGCAAAAGUGAUAAGUUAUGAGCCCUCUGUCCCACCCCAAUGUUUUAUUAAGCCUGCAGUGUUUCCUUUGAAGGAUGUUGUAUGUAAUAAUCUGGAUUCUGGAAAAAUUCAGAUCUUGCCACAGUGGGCCUAUUCUUAUCAACAACAAAUUGGAAUUUAGUGGUGUUCCUCCUGUUUGGACAAGCUGCAAGUUCUUCCCAGUUUCAAGACUACCUGUUGCCUUGUAUCGGGCCCACAUCAGCCCCACAUCAGCCCCACAUCAGCCCAUUGUAUUAUCUCUCUGACCAGUGGUGGAGUUUGAGCUUGUGGACUUUGUCUACAUCAUAGAAGAAGUCAUGAAGAGAAAGAUGACAUAUCUGACUAACAUCAAGUGGAAAACUUUGGUAUAUAAAAAUAAGCCACUUCACUUAUUUUUAACAAGUAACUGAUUAGAAAAAUGAGCAAAUACAAGAGUCAACCAUAUAUUAAAUUUAUGAUAUCAAGAGUUCAUCAAAAAUACCAAUAUCUUAAGGGACAAAAGGAUAAGAACUCAAUUGAUAGAAGAGGAAACACCAUCCAAAAGCAUUCAAACUCAUUAGUAACCAAACAAUAGUUUUAAAACAAUUACAUAUGAUUUCUGAUCCAUUAAAUUAAAAAAAUUAAAGUAUAACAUCAAUGCUAAUACUCCAUUGUUGGCUGGAAAGUAGUUUGGCAAUAUGUACCAAAAGCUUUCAAAAUGUUUAUUCCCUUUAAUGUGGAGUCCCUAUACUCACACAGAUCCCAGAGUCCAAGGGCCUGGAUUCAAAUCCAGACUCCUCCAUUUAUCAACGAUGUAAACAGGGGUAAUGUAAACCAGCACAUCUCGAUUUCCUCAUCUCUAAAAUGAGAAUAAUCAUAAUAGUACUUACAUUAUUGGAUUACUGUGAUGAUUAAAUGAAUAAUAGGACUUUUGGGAACAGUGCCUAGCAAACAGUGGUACAAUAUAAGUUUGCUAAAUGAAUAGAUUUAUCUAUUUUAAAAAUUUACUUGAGGAAGCUACCAACUGAGAAAAGGAUUUAUGCAGAAAAUUGUGUAUUAUAGUACUAUUUAUAAUAUUUAUAAUAGCAAAAAAUUAAGAGCUAUAAUAGAGAAUGAUUAGCUAUUUCAUAGAAAAUGAAAUUAAUGAAAUGUGAUGCAGUCAUUAAAAUUAUGUUUAUGAACUUUGUGUAAUAAUGUUGAAAUCAUAAUUUUAAGUGAAAUAAAAAGCAAAAUAUAUACCAGCAUAUUUGGCAUAUUACAAUAAUUAAAUUACAAUAAUUAAAUUUUUAU